AUGUCCUUACCACAUUGAAAAACACUGGUUCUCAUUCGAUUACCAAAGUUAAGCAAUGUCGGUCAGUAUUUGGGAGGGUGACAUAACAAAAAUA